CAUGGCCCCCUCCCUGGAUCCGCCCUUGAACAGAAUAUACUGCUAAAGAGUUGUUCCGCCAUAUUGCCUUCCCCAUUUAGCCCGUGAAAGCGAUCCCAUUUACUUCACCUCAUGUCACAUCCCCUCCCUCCCACAUAUGAAACUCAAUAAAAAGAAGAAGAAUUUUGAAAACUGCCGGCGUCCAUUGUGAUUGUGUACUAAUAGUAAUGUGAACAUUGCUUAUUUGUUUUUAUGUGUUAUGUUGUUUAGUUUUCACGUUUCAAUUCAAGAAUUCAAUUGUUCAGUUCCUGCCACUGUCUUCCUCUCACUGGUUCUUGUUUAAGUUCAAUUCAAUUCAACUAAAAUUCUGUACCCAUGAUGUGUUAUGUGUUAUAGUUGUAUUGGAAACAUCGUCUACGCUAAACUUUAGAUUACUGCUGAGGAUUUACCAAGGGACAGGGUACAUUACCGAAACGGAUAAAAUCAUGUCUGAUCAAAUAGAAGUAAAACAAGAAUUUAGUGAAGUGUGUAAAGAAGAUGAUGAUGAAGUGGGUGAUGCACUACUGGAUACCUUUAAAAUCGAGAUUAAGGAGGAGACUAAGAAGGAAAGUGCCUGUGAUACAUUUGAUUCUGCAGACCUUAAGGAGUAUCCUAUAAAAACUGAAGAACAAGAUGGUGUCUCUUGCGAAGACAUCAAAAAAUAUGCAAGUAAUCUACUAAACUGUUCUGGAAACAGUUUGAACCAAAACUUUACUGCCACUACAGAUGUGAAAACAGAAGAAAAUCCUUUUAAAUGUGAAUUUUGCUCCAAACGAUUAACAAAAAGAUCCUCUUUAAAAUCACAUUUGAGAGUGCAUACUGGAGAAAAACCAUUUACAUGUGACAUUUGCUCCAAACAGUUUUCAACAAACACACAUUUAACUAGACAUAGAAAAGUGCAUACUGGUGAAAAACCUUUCACAUGCCAAAUAUGCAACAAACGGUUUUCAAAUAGUUACAACUUAAAACAUCACAUAAAAGCGCAUAGUGGGGAAAGACCUUUUGCGUGUGAAAUAUGCAAGAAACAGUAUUCACACAGUUCAUACGUAAAAGUACAUAUGAGAGUGCACACUGGUGAAAAACCUUUCACCUGUAACGUAUGCAGCAAAAAAUUUUCACAGAGUUCUACUUUACAAUCACAUAUAAGAGUGCAUACUAGUGAAAAGCCAUUUUCUUGUGAAAUUUGCCCCAAACAAUUUUCAUUGAGGAAACUUUUAAAAUCACACAUGAAGGCGCAUACUGGUGAAAAACCUUUCACAUGCAAAAUAUGCUCCAAACAGUAUUCACACAGUUCUAGUUUUACAGCACAUGUGAAAACACACACUAGUAAAACGGGGCAUAGAUAAAAGAUUUUUUCUACAACCACUAUUCAAAGUGCACUUUUCUGCACGGUUUUAUGUUAGCAAACUUGAUAUUUUCUCACAGUAUAAGAUAUUUGACAUUAGUGUGCAGAAAAGUGACGUUUCUGUGCCGCAGAGUGACGUUUCUGUGCCGUAAAGUUCUUUUCUGCACAGUUGACUACCUCAUUCUGAGUAACGUUAUAUUCUGUUUACAUCCGUGGACUACCGCAUUCUGAGUAACGUUAUAUUCUGUUUACAUCCGUGGUUAAACUUUAGACAAAUAUAUAACCUAUAAGACAAUUAUUAUAUUUAACUAUAGCAUAGAAACUAAAUUAUGGAUGUUACAGCUGUUUUAUUUUACAAUUUUAUUCUUAUUAAACAUUUGAUAAUUAUCAAAUAACCAAUAAGGAUUUAGCAACCUGUGCAAGAGACGUCGAAUGAAGUAGGUUUUGUGUAAAUCCGUGACUGCAUAAAUAUAAUGUCAAUAAUGUGUAAUAAUUGUUUAAAUUUAAACAAAUUAAGGCAGUGCAUUAAUUUUUUAACUGAUUUCUGUGCAAUUUAUUUAGGUAUAAGGAAUUUAAAUUGAUUAGUAGGUAUUAAUUAAAUACAGUUUAAAAUUUAUCACAUAGGUACCUAUUAUAAUUAAUCGUCGUUUGGAAAUUGUGAUUUUUAUUUUUAGGAAAAACUGUGCUUGUAGAAAAAGUAUAGUGUGAAACACGUGCAGAAAGGCAAUUUCUCACUCGUUUGAAUUGCG
rnacentral:misc_RNA from 1 species